AGCGAACGCUGGCGGCAGGCCUAACACAUGCAAGUCGAACGGAUCCUUCGGGAUUAGUGGCGGACGGGUGAGUAACACGUGGGAACGUGCCCUUGGUUCGGAACAACUCAGGGAAACUUGAGCUAAUACCGGAUGUGCCCUUCGGGGGAAAGAUUUAUCGCCAUUGGAGCGGCCCGCGUCUGAUUAGCUAGUUGGUGAGGUAAAGGCUCACCAAGGCGACGAUCAGUAGCUGGUCUGAGAGGAUGAUCAGCCACAUUGGGACUGAGACACGGCCCAAACUCCUACGGGAGGCAGCAGUGGGGAAUUUUGCGCAAUGGGCGAAAGCCUGACGCAGCCAUGCCGCGUGAAUGAUGAAGGUCUUAGGAUUGUAAAAUUCUUUCACCGGGGACGAUAGUGACGGUACCCGGAGAAGAAGCCCCGGCUAACUUCGUGCCAGCCGCCGCCGUAA
rnacentral:rRNA from 1 species